UACGAAGGGUGCAAGCGUUACUCGGAAUUACUGGGCGUAAAGCGUGCGUAGGCGGUUUGUUAAGUCUGAUGUGAAAUCCCCGGGCUCAACCUGGGACCUGCAUUGGAAACUGGCGAGCUAGAGUACGGUAGAGGGUGGUGGAAUUCCCGGUGUAGUAGUGAAAUGCGUAGAGAUCGGGAGGAACACUCGUGGCGAAGGCGGCCACCUGGACCAGUACUGACGCUGAGGCACGAAAGCGUGGGGAGCAAACAGG
rnacentral:rRNA from 1 species